rnacentral:lncRNA from 1 species
UUUUUAUUUUUUUGUAUGAUAAAAAGAGCUGAAUUCUAGUCUUAUUUAGUUUUCUGAGCAUUUUCUUUAAAAAAAAAAUACCACUGAAAAUUCUGAAUGAACAGUAUUCCUAAAUUGAAUCUCUGAGACACCAUUUAACUUACCAGAUUGGCAAAAAACCCAGAUAACGGCUACUCUCACAUGUUUCUAGCAGGGGGGUGAGAAGAUAAAGCACUUCUGGGAAGCAAUCUGACUAUCAAAAUUAUACACAUACUGUAUGAACUAUAAUUCUACUUUGCAAAUGUAUACACAUAUAAUUCUGUGCAUGCAGAACAGUCUACACACAAAGUUACUAACUGUGGCAUUGUUUAAGAGUAAGCGUUGGCUACAAUCCAAACAUCCAUCAAUAGGUCGCUAUUUAAAUUGUGGUACAUCCAUACAAUGGGCUACUCUGUCGCUGCUGAGGAAAAAAAAAGAAUGAGGACACUCUCUUAGUACUGAUUUGUUAAAACCUUCUACAUAUAUUAGGAGGAAAUAUACGUUGCUCAAAAGCAUCAUUGGUGAUUAUCUCUUACUUUAUUAAGGGGGCAAAUAUGAAUUCAUAUUUAUGCACAGAGAAAGUCAAGAAGGCUGCAUUUAGACACAGCUGAGGCUGGGAGGGGGCGGUGGAGGCAGAAUUUGGGCAAACUCUGUGAACCUGGAAAAAAUGCAUUAAAAUGGUAUCCUUGAAAAGUAAUCCUUCUUUUUUUCUAAGCCUAGGUUAGACCACCCUGGCACCUGCUUUUGGUUUAUUGUUUUGAUAAGCGUCUAUAUUUUUUGCAGUGGUUAGAUUACAGCACUGUGAUAGCUUUAGCAUAUUUUCCAAAUCAGGCUCCAGCUCCCUCCUUUUCAUCUUGCCUGCCAUCUUGAAGGGGGUUUUCCCAGGACACCUGACAGUGAGUCAAGUUCUCUGCGCCUCUCUUCUCCCGUUGGUUUGCUGAGAUUAUUUGGGAGUUUUUACAAGCUCCAUGAAAGCAGAGAGUUUGCUUUUUGUUCACUGCCUCGUUCGCAACACUGAAACGAGAGCCUGGCACACAGCAGUCGUUACGUAUUUGUUGAAUAAAUGAACUCUUUUCUCUAUCAUGCUUCAAUAGGACAGACACCAUCCCACCGUCAGCCAAAGGGAGAGAGAUCAUUGUGUCAAAUAGUCAGAAAUAGUUAUCAUUCUUAUUACAGGUCCACUACAGGCCUUCUAAUCCUAGCAGCAUUCUUAGAAUUAUUUUGAAUUUUACAAAAGACAAACAAAUAAGCCUACAGAAUGCUGUAUUGAACAAUGACUCUUAAAUAUUCAUAAGAACUUAUUUUUAAUUAACUUGGGAUUACAUGGCUCUAGGGCCCAUCUUAAGGCUGAAGUCUUUUCAGGCAAAUACUGCAUUAACUGUUUUUUUUUUUUUUUUGGCUGCACCCAUGGCAUGCUGACAGCUAUAGCUCCGAUUAGACCCCUAGCCUGGGAACCUCCAUAUGCUGCGGGUGCAGCCCUAGAAAAGACAAAAAGACAAAAAAAAAAAAAUGAACUGCUAUUUUUAUAUUUAAGAAUAAAGUUAUCCUCAGAAUUAAAUUCAAGUUAGUCUAGGCAGUGAAUUGAGUCAAACAAUAUCAAUCAUAAAUGCAAAACCUUCCUUCCUCUACGGUGGGCAGAGAAUGGGUUAUAACUACUACAACUCUUUAACCUUGGUUUAAAUAGCUAUAGAAUCAGACUAGCUUUGCUAGUAAUCAUUUCAGUAAUGUUGGUGCCUGAUAUUUCUUAGAUUUUAGUGUCACUAAUUUUUCAUAGUGCAUGGCCGAGGCAGUUACCGAGUGUCGUCUUUUGGCAGUACCACAAAGAUGGUGGGAAGUUUUUGGUGUCACCGCUUUCCUUGGCUGUCAUUUAGGACAACAAUCCAAUGAGUGGGGAAACAUCUAUUCACCUGAAACAGUCUGAAAUCUAAGUCUCUCCUGAGGAUAAAAUAGAAAUUCCCAGAGUUAAGGCAUUUUUGAAAUGUCUUAACUAGAAAAGAGAUGAUAGCAGAGAAGUUUCAGGACAACCAACCUUCAGGAGAUGCAAAUCAUUCUUAGGAUCCAGCACCAGGAAGCAUGAAACCCACUGUCUGCAGAUGGGAGCACAGCAAACCCCACCGUAGUCCCUGCAGCAGUCAACACUCAGUUCUGGAACAGAUCUUUUCUGCGAAGAGUGGCAGGGGCAAAGGAGGGUGGCAC